UUGCUUUGGCAGCACAUAUACUAAACCUGGAAUGAUAUAGAGAAGAUUAGCAUGGCCCCUGCACAUGGAUGACAUGCAAAUUCAUGAAGCAUUCCAUAGUUUU